UAUAAAAUGAGCCUGUGAAAACCCUAGCCGCCUUUUCCCCACUCGCCCAAUCCCUGCAUCCUCUUCCUCCCCCAAUCGCCCGCUCCUCCUCUUCUUCCCCGCAGCGCUCCACCUCCCACCUCUCUCCUCCCGCCCCUCCCUCUCCCUCGGAGACCGAUGGCGCCGGCCCUUGCACGUGCCAUCUGCGUCGCCGUCCCCUCCAUCUCCCCGUAGAUCAGGCGCACCAGGACGAGCAAGAAGCCCUCAACAUGAUGCCAUUUCCCCGGCCGCCGGAGACGCGGAGGCGGAAGAGCGGCGGCUGGCCGGCCCUGGAUUACUGCAGGUUGCACCAGCCGUGGGCGACGGUAGCCCGCACAAGCAGCAGAGGACAUCCCCCCACAUCAAGCUCACAUCUGGAGUUGCAGCCAAUGAUGCGAAGGGGAGCAACCUAGGCAUGCCCGACCCCGACCAGGAUGACGCAUAACAAAAGGUUGCUUGUCGAGUGUUGCAGCAAGGGUGUUUCAAGAGAUGGGUGAUAAAUUCAGAACAUGAGGCUGUUGCUUUUGUGUUAUUCUUCAUUCAUCAUGUGGCCUUGUUAGAAAUGGCUUCGUUAAAUAUCCUGCAACUGGGUUUAAGGGAAUGAUUGGCAAAGCUAGAGGAGUUGAUGAAGACUAUACUAAAUUCUCACUGUCAUGUAUCCUAAUUUCAUUACAUCCAGUUAGUAGUUGCGUCUCGCCGUGUUUCACUUCUCGCUUAGCUUUCCAUUCUUCCUCUGACCUCCUUUCAUGUUGUCAUUUGAAGAAACAUCAAAGGUAAUACUCUCUAUCAUUUUCUUUUGUUCAAAUGCAGUUCCAGUGCUCUGAUUUCAAAUGCUAGCUCAUUUGUUCUUCAUUGCCAGACAAAUUUUGAAACCAAUAAUUCUCUGAACCCUAUUGAGCUCUAAAAAAAAUUGAUUUUCUAUGAGUCUAUGUCACACUUGUGCCUCUUUGUGCUGCUUUAAAAUUUUAUUUUAGCACGUGCCAUGAAGAGGUAGCAUAUCAACACAUCACUUUACCCUGUUUAGGACAGUAUUUCUCUUCUAUUUAUAGUUGAAAUAUAUGCCUUAUAUUGCUAAUCCAUCGGUUAUGAUUUUUUUGCCUUUUUAUAUAGUACUACUAUUUUGUAGCGAACUUCUGGAUGGGCGUGUAUACACUAUUCUUUGGAAGGAUACAUUUCAGUGAAGAGAAGUAUAAUUACAUUGUUUGUGAAAGCAUUCGCUUCUGGCAAGUGACUUUGGGGUCUAUAAUUACAAUGCCAUGUCAGUUUGUAGGAACUUCCCGAGAUGUAUGCUUCAGAGAGUAUUUUCUAGAGAUUGUAAAUCUUAUAUAUUCUUAUUAUUUAUGGGUCUUCUGCUCUGUUGGAACUUCAUUGGGUCUAUUCAAGGCAACGUUGAAAAUUUCCUUUUCAGCUGACAUGUAUGUUUAGUAAUGCUACUCCGCAUCUUCAUCUUCCUCUGCGUUUGAAUGUAGGAUCAUGUGUUGCCUCCAAGCUGCGUCAGAGGGUGACUCCGAAGGCUGCCACCAAAGAUAUGAAAGAGGACAAUGAGCAAGGGUAAUUUCCUUCUCUUCCUCUUGAUCGCUCACUCUUUCUCUAUUUAAUCCCCAUGGAUUCUCAGCUUUGUUUUAUAUUCAUAGGCCAGAUUGGCAUUCAUGUUAGCAUGUAUGUGCCUUCUCAGUGGCAUGGUAACUGAAAUUCCACUUUCUAAUGAUUUAUUUGUUUGUUGCUAGAUUUUUUCAUUGCAUCUAAAUAUCCAAUAGCAAUGCCAAUGUAUAUAUAUUUUAUAUAGAUAAAUCUUAUUCCAGGUUAGGCAUUUUGUUGGCAGGAUCAUGUUUUUUUUUCGGUGGGAGCCAAAAAUGUUUCUAUCAAACUCAUACAAGGUACCUGACUCACCUUCUCACAUAAUAUCUAUUGAAAGAACAAUGAACAUUGAAGAGUAGGCCGCAGUUCAUACCCAUUUUUGUAUUUUCCUAAACAAAAAUGUAAAAGUAAUCCAGUAGGACUCCGUUGAAUUUUAUUGGCAUGCUAAGGUUAGUACAAUGCCAAUUUAUCUUUGCUGUGUUGUAAAAGUUUGAAGCUGAUUAAUUAGUACCGUGGGCUGUUUUAGAUUUUUUUUUUGUCUCAGCUUGGCAAAUCAAUCCUGAUUCUAAAUUAGUUCAAAGGUGUUUAUGUUUAUCUUUGCCUAGAGUUAUGUGUAUUGAGGUGCUAUUAUAUACCUAGAACAAAAUCCAGGUGUUUAUGUUUAGCUUUUCCUACAACUUUUUUUGUAUUUGCAUAUAGUUGAUUAGUUAGUAUCGGCGUGACUGUUAUCAAGCUGCUAUAUAGACCUGGAAUAAAGCAAGCUUGUUUUUUAAUGGUUCUUGAGAGCAUGUUUCGUUGAGUCGGUACAAAUAGAUUUGUUUAUCUAUUCUAUAAUGUUGCUAUGUACAAAACUUUAUAGCUAAGGACAGUAGUAUAUAGGCAGGGAGAUUUAUUUUUUACAGUUUCAUAAGAGUUAGAAGUUUGUUGGUUAUAUCAGAGUUACUAUGUGCUUCGGCUUCUUGUGGUCAUAUUUUAUUGUUCAGAUGCAGAUUCCAGGCCGGAUUAGAUUCAUGUAUAGCUUAGUGCUGAUGAUUGUGCUACUAUGUUCCAGUCAAACAAGCUGUAACAGAGGUCUCCUAUAUUAUUAUGAUCAUGUAGCUACUAGAAUCUCAGAUUAACUGUUAUGCCAGCAGAGGAAAAUCUCAUACAGUUUUUCCCGUUUGCUCACAUCUUCUGACCAAUAGCUGAUCACUUAUUCCUUUGUCCUUUCUGUGAUAAUGUUAAUCUGGCGACCACUUGUUAUUCCUCUGUCCAUUGUAUUUUUUUGUCUGGUCUAUUGUUUGCAAACUCUUCGGCUCGAAAUCUUUCAUAUAUCUGUCGAAAGCUUUGUUUCCUGGACUAAACAAAAGCGGGAGCGUUUUUUGUAUUCAGGUUUGGAUUGUCUUUACUGCUGACUGGUGGAACUUAUGGACUACCAGAAAUAAGUUCAUUUUUUUAGAAAAGAUGUCUUAAGAAUCCCACUGAUGCUAUCUAUCAAAUAUUAUUUCUUCUGCAGCAAUGUGUUGUUUUAUGGAGCAAGACGAAUAGGCUGAUAUUCCAGGGGGUGUUGCAGCAUUCUAAGAAGACUGUCUCGAGAUUGAAAAGCAUGUCCUUUAACUGUUUGAAUGUCCUAUGUAUUCUGAACUUGGUGGUUUUGGUCUGGCAGUGGUGUUUUAAUAGUGUGUUAGACCUGCUAUUUCUUCACGUUGCUCUUCAUUUGUAAACGCUGGUGUUCCCAGCUUAUGUAAGACUGUCUGCUUCCUUAUAAAGCAGGGCUAAAUGCAUUUGAUGGGAAAAUGUCUGACUAGGGGAUAGGAGUGACUGACUAAGACCGAUUGGCGUCCAAGUGAAGACUUGAUAAGUUUACUAGGCGAAGCUGCCAUGAACAUAUUGAACUGGACAUGUUCAUUCUGUUAUUUUGAUAAGAAAUAUUGUUGAUCAUGCUGCACAAUUUUAAUUUUUUGAAAGCUCCACCAUAUACCAUAUGAAACUCAAUUUGUCCAUCAAAUAUUUGUCUACGCUUUCUCAUCAUUGGUAACUUGUGGUUUGUGCUGGAUCUAGGAAAAUAGAUACGGAGAGACUGAAGAUUAUAUACAUGAAGUGGGUGUUGCCAUGGCAGAUUGUGAGCUACUACAGAUUAAGCACUUCUUUUCAGUUUUCCUUUCUUAAGAAUAACCACCAUUUAUUCAUACCAUGUUUAAUAUGAGGUAGUUUGUCUUCAUGGAAGCCAGGGAUUCAUAUAGAUCAGCGGAACAUUGGUAUAGAAUUGGCUUCACUGAACUGAGGUCUCAAGUCGCACCUCCUCUAGAUAAUGGUCCUCUCUUUGGGCACAAUGCACAACCCUCCAGUAUUCUUAUUACACGAAUUGGAACUAACACUCCUCUUUAAGUCUGAAGUAAACAAUGUAAAUCCUUAGAAUUAACAGAGUAAUCUAAAUCGUGCAUGCAGAUUUUCUAAUACCAUU